GUGUUUGCUUCAGGAGCACAUAUACUAAAAUUGUAGUGAUUUAAAGAAGAUUUGCAUGGCCCUUGCACAAGGAAUGAGACUAGAAGUUGGCACAGAAGGUUAAGGCUC